UGCCCGGCUCCUCUGUGUCCUGGCCCUGGGGACCCUGAGUCAGCACUCCACUCUCAGGCCUGCUGAGGUCUGCCUCCUGCUCUGCCCACCCAAACAAACUGAGCCCACUGGUUCCUGGGCUUUCAGAAGAUGAUGUGAGACCUCCUCGCUAUGCGCAUUGGCCACUCAUGAUGGGUCAGACGGUUUUAGGACCUUCGGGUGCUAAAGUGGCUCUGGGUGCCCUCCUCUCCCAGCUACCUCAAGAGCCCUGAAUCACUCUGCACCGUGUGUGACUGGAGACCCGUCUUUGUUUCUUUGCCUGUCGCUGUGAGGAAACACCCUGACGAAAGCAGGUCAAGGGAGGAAGAGUUUACUCUGGCUCCACGUUCAAGGGUGAAGUUCAUUGUGACCAGGAAGUCUGAGGGCAUGCCCAUCUCCCAGGUCAAAUUCUCGACGGUGUCGCGUUGACAAUCCACACCAACACCACAGGAACCCAGACUUAUUUCUCAGCUGGAACCAACUGAAGCCGCUGAAGAGUUUGCAGACUGAGCCUGGGAGUGGGGAGGGGUAGGGUCUGUGGGAGUCCUAGCCUCAUACAGCCCAUCCGGAACUCCGUCUGUUGAAUCGUCACCUCUUCUGAAGACACCUACCCCCAUCACAGGCCUAAGCAAACACGGAGAUGAACAAAAUGCCGCCGGGAGAGCCUCUGUCGCAGCAGGCAGCGCCCGGAGGGUGCAGUCGGGGCUCUUUCUGUUCUUCUGUCCCAGUCUCAUGCUCCCUGUAUGUCCCUCCUAUUCUCUCUUGAGCCCGGUCUCUUG